UUGUUGUUGUUGUUGUUGUUGUUGUUGUUGUUUUUAAUCUUCUGAUAAAAACAGAGAGUAUGGAUCUCUUGUUCAACAAGAACACCAUCCAUUUGUCUCUUGUUUCUUUUUGUCCACUUGGUUUCUUCCUGUGUCCUUUCUGUCAAGGUGAGGAGUCCCCUCUCUCUAAAAAGAGCCCAUGGACACUGGCAUUGGCAAAUGCAUACCAACUGUUCAUGGUGUGCCUGUCUUUACCCUUCUCCCAGCAAAAUGCAUGGAAUAAAGCCAGAAGGUCAGCCCUUUGUGCUGAAGGCCAUUGGCUGAUGGACUGGGCCUUUACUAUCCUGGGUAGGUGACCACUGCAGCCCCGUGUACCUGAUUCCAUGUUGAACACAAGUACUCCAUAUAAUACCUCUUCACGUCUGACAGUCGGACUGCAUCAAUCGCUUUCAGAAGUGCAAGGUGCAGCUGCAGUGGAGCUCCGCGUGGAGGCCAGAGACUCCAGCCAGCCCCACUGCAGAGGAAGAUGCAGCAGCCACAUCUGCAGGGGUAGCAGCAGCCAGGGCUGGGGCCCUGCUUGAGAAGGGAGAUGAAGCUAAUCAAGUCCACCUUCCACCACAGCUGUGAGUGUUUCUGCAUUGCCAGAACCUGCCUGCAGAAGCUGAGCUUUGAGCUCCUGUAGGUAGGAGCUGGAAGGGCCAGAGCCAGGGCAGUGCCUGGAGUACAUUUCCCCUCAUGAAGGUUGGUAUGGGGCCCAUCCACAUCCAAUGCUAUGUCCCUCAUCUGGUCGGUGGAGUCUCAUGACCCUAACUUGGUUGCUGUCUUGGAGUGGUUCUUUUGGGUUAUCAUCUGGUAGCAGGCUGGCUGGGCUGAUGGCUGACAUUUUAUUAAGUCAGAUAUGGGGCUGGCCCAGAAGAUGGGCCUCAUAAUGUGUUAUUUGAGUGUUACAUAUCCACUUACUGCAGUUCCUCUCAGGAGGUCCAUUACAAUGUCUAAGAUGUAAGUUAGUAACAGUUCCUGGCACACAGUCAAUUUAUUUAUUAGAAUGGUUGCAGCAGCAACUGCUCACAAACAAGCAGGCCAAACAGGAUCAAGUCUUUUAGAUAGAAACGCCACUAGCCCCUUCCAGGUGCCUGGGACAUUCAUCAUAUCCAUCCUCCUCCACAAACUCCCUCUGCGCCUGUGGACAUCACCCACAAUACCACGCUUACUGCUAGCAUCACCAUAACAACAGUAGCAACAGCUUGCAGCACAGAAUCUGCCAGAAGAGAGGAGGAUGGCACAGCAUGACCCAUGAGUCUGUGGAAAGUUGCUAGUCAUCCCAGGGGCAGCAGUAGCUGUGGCUCCAGGAGGGCUCACUCCCCUUCCUUUUUAGAUCUUUUUCUCUAAUCAAUAGAACUGAGAGAACUGCACAGAGAGAUACAUAGUAAAGACAACCAGGGGUGGCCCCCAUGCAUCAAUGCUCCUCAAGAGGCCAUCUGGAUCCCAGACAUAGAUCUUCACCACUGCAUCUCAUUUGCAUUCUAAACAGAAGGUGCUUUAACCAGACUUAACUCUAGCAGUGACAAACCAGGUUCCUGAUACAUCCUAAGUAUGAAACCAUCACAACACUUUAUGAGCUUGGCUGAAAAGAUACUUCUUGGUUUUCUUGAUGAUGCUUGACCAUCCUUCUUAGUUAUUAUGGUAAUGAAGCUACUGAUGCUUGUCCAGGCCUCACUUUCAGAAGUGUUAGUCCAGCAUGCCUGGCUGCUUAUCAGAACACGCAAAGCCCUCACAAAGUGGAUUCCACGUUACUUUGCUGGGAAUGGCUGC